UACGGAGGGUGCAAGCAUUGAUCGGAAUUACUGGGCGUAAAGCGCGCGCAGGCGGUCCUUUAAGUCUGAUGUGAAAGCCCACGGCUCAACCGUGGAGGGUCAUUGGAAACUGGGGGACUUGAGUGCAGAAGAGGAAAGCGGAAUUCCACGUGUAGCGGUGAAAUGCGUAGAGAUGUGGAGGAACACCAGUGGCGAAGGCGGCUUUCUGGUCUGUAACUGACGCUGAGGCGCGAAAGCGUGGGGAGCAAACAGG
rnacentral:rRNA from 1 species